UUAGUAACUGAAUUAUGUUGUACUUCUCUGUAUUAUGCGUACAAGUUGCUAAAUGUCAUAGGAUAUUCUUUGAUAUUACCUGAUUGUUCAAUAUAGUGCGAAGAGUGUACAAGUUGCUAAAUGUCAUAGGAUAUUCUUUGAUAUUACCUGAUUGUUCAAUAUAGUGCGAAGAGUGUUCAUUUAUAGUCUUUACUCACUUUAGCACCUUCUCCUGGGAAUGAUUCUGGGAAUGAUUCCUCUUUAAGUUCGCAGCUGACCCUGGAUGCUGCUGAUAGAGGUCUUGACUAAACAUAGUGCCUAGCUUGUUUUCUCUAGGAAGACAAACAUCUCGAAUAAAGUUGAUUGGAUUCUAAUUGUUAAAUUCUAUGGAAGAAAGAAACAUUGAGUUGAAAUAAUGUCUUUUUGAGACAACACUAGUGCUUUAUUUAUAUUGAAAAAAAGAAUCAAUACAAUAAAUAGAAGAGAUUUGAUAUCCUCCAAUAACAAAGAUAUGAUAUGGAAAUAAACAAAAAAGUUCCUAAUAGUAUAUGUAUGUUGUGGAAUAUUUCUAACAUACUCACUACAAAAUUGUUUACCAACACAAACACAAUUUCGAUAUCAAAGAAACAAGCUGCAAACUAUCUGUAGAAGUGUUAACAAACUUCAAUCUAUGUCCACGACAUAAUUCACUAUCACAAAGAUUACAACUUGAAGUUUCUCUCCUACAAUGAACUCUCACUGAACUCACUCUCUUAGUUAAACAACAACCUAUAGGUUCCUAGUACAAACACGGCUUCACUAGACGCUUAUUAGUACAAGACCAUAUUAGGAAGUGGACUUUAAGCCCAACUCAACCCCAUAAAACCGGCUCAUGAGGUUGAGGUUUGCACCCACUUAUAUAUAAUGAAAGGUGCUCAUCUCUAGUCGAUGUGGGAUCUCCAACAAAAACAAUAGGAGUGCAUUGAGAGAGCAAGUUCUGAUUACAACAGAAGUUUCAGGAAAAAAUGUGAAAACCGAAAAGAAAUAAUAAAUUAAAAAAUCAAUGCUUCUGUGCCCACUACCAAAGUACACUUUCAC
rnacentral:lncRNA from 1 species